rnacentral:rRNA from 1 species
UAAUACGGAGGGUGCGAGCGUUAAUCGGAAUCACUGGGCGUAAAGCGCACGUAGGCUGCGUGAUAAGUCAGGGGUGAAAUCCCACGGCUCAACCGUGGAACUGCCUUUGAUACUGUCAUGCUAGAAUCCGGGAGAGGGUGGCGGAAUUCCAGGUGUAGGAGUGAAAUCCGUAGAUAUCUGGAGGAACAUCAGUGGCGAAGGCGGCCACCUGGACCGGUAUUGACGCUGAGGUGCGAAAGCGUGGGGAGCAAACAGG